UAUAUAUAUGUGUUUUCUUUGGAUUUUUCGUUUUGGUGCCAGAACAUGAUAUUUUGAGUGGAUACAAAAUAUGUUACUGAUGUCCAAAUGACCAUACUUGGCGUUGUAUGAUGGUUGGGCUGUUAAACUCUGAGCCGUACGUUUCAUACAUAAAUAUAUUUUUUCUGUAAUGUCUUGUUGGUGUUUACUGCCACAAGCAAAAUUCAUGCAUAUAAAAUUUUUCUAUUAAGCUUAAUUUUGUAUGCAUGAAUUUUGCUUGUGGCAGUAAA
rnacentral:misc_RNA from 1 species